UCCUGGUUAGCUCAGUGGGUAGAGCACGGGACCUCUCCACUGGAAAUGGAGAGGUCCCUGGUUCGAUAGCGGGACCAGGCG
rnacentral:tRNA from 1 species